AUGCAUAGUUUAGUUUUGGUUUGUUUCAAACUUCUUAAUUUCAUCCGGUUCAACCGCGGCGGAUACGACCGGUGGCAGGAGUCGGACCCAUCGCCGUGCAAGUGGUGGGGCGUCAGUUGCGACGGGAACGGCCACGUCGAGUCGCUGAACCUGACAGGCUUGGCCAUCUCCGGCCCGGCAUUCAGCAACUUCUCAUGGCUCUCAGCACUCACGUCGCUCGACCUCUCCGACAACUCCAUCACCGGCCCGCUCCCCGAUGGCGACCUCAACCAAUGCCACGGCCUCCUGCGCCUCAACCUCUCCCAUAACCUCAUCACCGAGUCGUUGAACGUCUCCGUACUGACCAGGCUUCAAAUCCUCGAUGUGUCGGGAAACCGGCUCCAAGGCGGCGUCGCCGUCAACUUCCCGGCAAUAUGCGCCGACCUCACCUUUCUCGACUUGUACACCAACAACCUCACAGAUAACAGCACCAACCUCUUAGACGGCUGUGCCAGGCUAGAGUACGUCGACCUCAGCUCGAACAACUUCAACGGCGAACUAUGGCCUAGCGUCGCAAGAUUCAGGAAAUUCAGUGCUGCUGAGAACAACCUCACCGGCAGCGUCCCGUCGAGCACCUUUCCUGAUGGCUGCAUGCUCCAGUCCUUAGACCUCUCCACGAAUCAGCUGCUCGGCAACUUUCCGGAUUCCAUCGCUAGGUGCGUGAAAUUGACAUACAUGUCGCUUUGGGGGAAUAAUUUCACUGGGAUGAUACCUGCCGGAACCGGAAAGCUCGCCGCCCUCGGGACAUUGAUUCUUGGGAAUAACGGGUUCGAUCGACAGAUACCGAUGGAGCUGAUGAACUCCAAGAGACUUCAGUUCUUGGACAUCAGUACCAACAUGUUUGGAGGCGACAUGCAAGAUAUUUUUGGCAACUUUACAACCUUGAAGUAUCUUGGGCUUCACCACAACAACUACACUGGCGGCAUUGUGGCCUCCGGUGUGCUCCGGCUACCUCUGCUUGCUAGGCUGGACCUCAGCUUCAACGAGUUCACGGGAGAACUCCCUCCAGAGGUGUCCGAUAUGAAGAGCCUCAAGUACCUAAUGCUCGCCGAGAACGACUUCUCCGGCAGGAUACCUCCCGAGUACAGCCGGCUCACGAAGCUCCAAGCGCUGGACCUGUCUAAUAACAUGCUCUCAGGAGGAAUCCCCACGAGCAUCGGGAAUCUCACGUCACUUCUAUGGCUAAUGCUUGCUGGGAACCAGCUCUCCGGUAAGAUACCACCUGAAAUCGGCAACUGCACCAGCUUGCUCUGGCUGAACCUGGCCGACAACCGGUUGACCGGCAAUAUCCCGCCGGAGAUGGCAGAGAUGGGGAGGAAUCCUGGUCCAACCUUCGCCAGGAACCGGAAUGAUCCAAGCGUGCUCACAUGCUUCAGCGAGUGCCAGGCCAUGAGAAGGUGGGUCCCGGAGAGCUUACCUCCCUUCAGCUUCAUCUACUCUGUCAUGAAAAGGGAGAACUGUCGCAGCAUAUGGGACCGCAUCCUCAAGGGCUACGGGAUCGUCCCAAUUUGCAUGAACUCGUGGUCGCUCCCUGGGUCUGUGCUGCUGUCAAGGAACAUGCUUUCUGGUGAGAUACCACCACGGAUAGGUGCAAUGCGGAACCUCAGCUUGCUCCUCCUCGACGACAACCGUCUCACGGGGCGGCUGCCACUGGAAAUCGGCCGCCUCCCACUUGUCGUGCUGCACAUCUCGAGGAACAACAUCUCGGGGCCAAUCCCGUCCGAGAUUGGCGAGAUUAUGUGUCUGGAGAGGUUGGAUUUGUCUUCCAACAACCUUUCGGGCGAGCUCCCGAUGAGCCUGUUCAAGCUCACGCAGUUGGUUAUGUUCAAUGUUUCAUACAACCCGUUCCUCUCCGGCAAUAUCUCCAUCAACGGGCAAUUUGACUCAUUUGGCGAGCAGUCCUUCCUCGGUGACCCGCUCAUCUCAUUUCCUCAGGUGUUUUUUGGUAGUUCUGUAUUGGUAAACCUUCUCCUCAUCUCUAUUCUGCUCUUUGGCACUUACUGUGGUAUCACUAUCACCUCCAGGAAAAAACUCCAGUCAUCACAAUCGUCAGGUAGUUCUAUAUUGGCCCCAAAGAUUUUUACUUACAAUGAACUGGAGAAGGCAACCAGUGGUUUCCAUGAGGUGCUAGGGAGCGGAGCCUCUGGUACUGUGUACAAAGGACAGCUUCAAGAUGAGCAUGUGACCAGCAUCGCCGUCAAGAAAAUUAAAAAGCUUCAGCAAGAGACUGAGAAGGAGUUCAUGGUGGAAGUGCAAACCAUGGGUCAGACAUCUCACAAGAAUUUGGUCAGGCUGCUUGGUUUGUGCAAUGAGGGAACUGACAGACUGCUAGUAUAUGAGUUCAUGACCAAUGGCUCGCUGAACGAGUUCCUCUUUGGUGAUGCUCGGCCACAUUGGAGCCUCCGUGUGCAAGUCGCACUUGGAGUGGCACGAGGGCUGCUCUACUUGCACGAGGAGUGCAGCACACAGAUUAUCCACUGCGACAUAAAACCACAGAACAUCCUUCUCGAUGACAACUUUAUGGCGAAGAUUGCAGACUUUGGCCUGGCGAAGCCUCUUCAAGCCAAUCAGACACAGACAAACACCGGCAUCCGGGGUACUAGAGGUUACGUUGCCCCAGAGUGGUUCAAGAACAUAAGGAUCACUUCCAAAGUCGAUGUUUAUAGCUUUGGGGUGAUCCUGCUGGAGCUUGUGUGCUGCAGGAGGAAUGUGGAGGUAGAGAUUGCUGAUGAAGAGCAGGCGAUACUAACUUACUGGGCAAACGACUGUUACAGGUCUGGGAGGAUCGACUUGCUUGUGGAGGGUGAUGACGAGGCAAUCUUCAACAUUAAAAAGGCGGAGCACUUCGUGGCUGUGGCACUGUGGUGCCUUCAGGAGGAGCCAACGAUGCGGCCAACCAUGCAUAAAGUGGCAGAAAUGCUUGAUGGAGCAGUCCAAAUUCCCACGCCUCCGGAUCCCUCUUCCUACAUCAGUUCACUUGAGUGGUGA
rnacentral:rRNA from 1 species